ACCUACGGGGCGCAGCAGUAGGGAAUCUUCCACAAUGGGCGAAAGCCUGAUGGAGCAACGCCGCGUGGGUGAAGAAGGUCUUCGGAUCGUAAAACCCUGUCGUUAGAGAAGAAAGUGCGUGAGAGUAACUGUUCACGUUUCGACGGUAUCUAACCAGAAAGCCACGGCUAACUACGUGCCAGCAGCCGCGGUAUACGUAGGUGGCAAGCGUUAUCCGGAUUUAUUGGGCGUAAAGGGAACGCAGGCGGUCUUUUAAGUCUGAUGUGAAAGCCUUCGGCUUAACCGGAGUAGUGCAUUGGAAACUG
rnacentral:rRNA from 1 species